rnacentral:rRNA from 1 species
GCGCAUGCUUAACACAUGCAAGUCGAGCGGUAAGGCCUUUCGGGGUACACGAGCGGCGAACGGGUGAGUAACACGUGGGUGAUCUGCCCUGCACUCUGGGAUAAGCUUGGGAAACUGGGUCUAAUACCGGAUAUGACCACAGCAUGCAUGUGUUGUGGUGGAAAGAUUUAUCGGUGCAGGAUGGGCCCGCGGCCUAUCAGCUUGUUGGUGGGGUAAUGGGCCUACCAAGGCGACGACGGGUAGCCGACCUGAGAGGGUGACCGGCCACACUGGGACUGAGACACGGCCCAGACUCCUACGGGAGGCAGCAGUGGGGAAUAUUGCACAAUGGGCGGAAGCCUGAUGCAGCGACGCCGCGUGAGGGAUGAAGGCCUUCGGGUUGUAAACCUCUUUCAGCAGGGACGAAGCGUGAGUGACGGUACCUGCAGAAGAAGCACCGGCUAACUACGUGCCAGCAGCCGCGGUAAUACGUAGGGUGCGAGCGUUGUCCGGAAUUACUGGGCGUAAAGAGUUCGUAGGCGGUUUGUCGCGUCGUUUGUGAAAACCCGGGGGCUC